rnacentral:rRNA from 1 species
UACAGAGGGUGCAAGCGUUAAUCGGAGUUACUGGGCGUAAAGGGGGGGUAGGGGGUUGUAUAAGUGAGAUGUGAAAUCCCUGGGCUUAACCUAGGAACUGCAUCUUAUACUGUAUAGCUAGAGUACUGUAGAGGGUAGUGGAAUUUCCGGUGUAGCGGUGAAAUGCGUAGAGAUCGGAAGGAACACCAGUGGCGAAGGCGGCUACCUGGACAGAUACUGACACUGAGGCGCGAAAGCGUGGGGAGCAAACAGG